UACGUAGGGAGCGAGCGUUGUCCGGAUUUAUUGGGUGUAAAGGGUGCGUAGGCGGCUAUGUAAGUCAGACGUGUAAUGCAGGGGCUUAACCUCUGAACUGCGUUUGAAACUGUGUAGCUUGAGUGGAGUAGAGGCAGAUGGAAUUUCCAGUGUAGCGGUGAAAUGCGUAGAUAUUGGAAGGAACACCAGUGGCGAAGGCGAUCUGCUGGGCUCUAACUGACGCUGAGGCACGAAAGCAUGGGGAGCAAAC
rnacentral:rRNA from 1 species